rnacentral:misc_RNA from 1 species
GAUUGAAGAACGUAGCGAAAUGCGAUAAGUAAUGUGAAUUGCAGAAUUCAGUGAAUCAUCGAAUCUUUGAACGCACAUUGCGCCCGCCAGUAUUCUGGCGGGCAUGCCUGUCCGAGCGUCAUUUCAACCCUCGAACCCCUCCGGGGGGUCGGCGUUGGGGAUCGGCCCCUCACCGGGCCGCCCCCGAAAUCCAGUGGCGGUCUCGCCGCAGCCUCUCCUGCGCAGUAGUUUGCACACUCGCACCGGGAGCGCGGCGCGGCCACAGCCGUAAAACACCCCAAACUCUGAAAUGUUGACCUCGGAUCAGGUAGGAAUACCCGCUGAACUUAAGCAUAUCAAUAAGCGGAGGA